CGUCCGUCCUCGGACGGUCGAUGAUCGCCCGGUCAACCAUCGUCCCCGUCCAUGAGAUCUUCGUUGUUCAGCGCCUGCCCACCCGCCCGCAAAUCACGUCGCCUGCACAUCGCCUGCUCGCCUCCCCAUCGCCCUUCCCCUCGUGACCCCGCCGCCUGCCCUCGACGCCGCCUUUCCCUCGCACACAGCGACCAGGCCGGUGGUGCACAGCGCGGCGUCCCGGCCGCUUGGCUUCUAUGCGGCCAGCAGCCCCGACGCCGCCUGCCCCUCACGACCCUUCCGCCGCACCUCCCUCGGACGCCGCCACACCCCGAUGCUGCAGAUCCACCUCCCCGUGCCCACGUCGUUUCACACUGCUCUUCCACGUAGUUCAGAAGGCCUGGAGAGUUUCUUCUAUACUCCAAGCUGAUCUCAAGGUUGCUUUUGAUUUAUCUGCAGUGUUUACUUCUGAUUUUAUUAAAUUAUUACCUCAGAAUUCUUUUUUCUACUGAAUUGAUAAUUGAUGUCGCUGACUAGAAGGAGAUGUCAAAAGAGAAAUGUUCAGUGAGGAAAGAGUGGCAAAAGAAGAGUUAUCUUUUUUCUUCUGAUUGAUUCUAAAUCUACCCUUCUUCCUCUGAACCUGCUUCCUUUUACUGAACCUGCUCUUCUUCCUCUGAACCUACCCCUUUUAUUGAGCCUUAGCAGAGCAGCACAACUGCUCACAGAUGCAACGAGCUUGCAUUGGGUUCAUGGCCUCGCCCAAUAUGCUUGGCCCAAUCAUGGAAACCGACGGAUUGAAUUAUCCUGUUGCAAGCUAAUGUUUGGUUUUGAAGGAGAUUUUGGGCAAGGUGUCAUGCGUUUGAAGUGAUAAUCAGCACCGGUGAGUUAUACUGAAUUUUAAUUGUGUUUGGUUAUCUCAAUUUGGACCCGCGAACUGUCGAUAGUUGUUUAUAGUUCAGUUUGUAUUACUCACAUUAUUUGGUGGUCCUUAGUUUAUGAACAAUCCUCUUGCCAUUGCACUGUUAGGCCCUUCCUUUCAUGCAUCUGCACAAAGUUUUCGAGAUUCAAGCCAAUUUUCAAGUUUUCGUUUGUUGUCAAGUAAGGGUAGAAUAUUCUUACACUUAUAAGGCAUACCUAAAUGGCUUGGUUCAAUAUGUUGGUUUCAUAAGUUGUGAGUUGGGACAACUAUGGCGUGGCAAUGUUGUUGCUCCUAACAUAUGAGCUGCCUAACUACCCGGAUCAUGCUGGUUGUCAUGUCACUACGAGAGUGGGGCACGCAGAUCUGCGGAGAGCAUUGCCGGAGCUGACUGAUACGGUGGUGACCGAGCAUUGCCUAUAAAACACGACCAUAGAUGCAAGAAUGAUUGAAAUAUUAUGUGUGAUAUCAGUAUAUUUUUCUAUAUUUGGAACUAGACAAUUGGUCAUCAGUUCUAAAAGACUAUUGUUUAAGGAGUGCAUUGCUAAUUGUGUUGGUCUUUCUAUUGAUACUCAGUCCAGAAUCAUGCUAAGAGUAGUUGACAUUACAUUUUAAAUCA